CCUACGGGGAGCAGCAGUGGGGAAUAUUGCACAAUGGGGGAAACCCUGAUGCAGCGACGCCGCGUGAGUGAAGAAGUAAUUCGUUAUGUAAAGCUCUAUCAGCAGGGAAGAAAAUGACGGUACCUGAGUAAGAAGCCCCGGCUAACUACGUGCCAGCAGCCGCGGUAAUACGUAGGGGGCAAGCGUUAUCCGGAUUUACUGGGUGGAAAGGGAGCGUAGACGGCAGUGCAAGUCUGGAGUGAAAGGCGGGGGCUCAACCCCCGGACUGCUCUGGAAACUGUACGGCUGGAGUGCAGGAGAGGUAAGUGGAAUUCCUAGUGUAGCGGUGAAAUGCGUAGAUAUUAGGAGGAACACCAGUGGCGAAGGCGGCUUACUGGACUGUAACUGACGUUGAGGCUCGAAAGCGUGGGGAGCAAACAGGAUUAGAUACCCUAGUAGUC
rnacentral:rRNA from 1 species